UAUUAAUCCAUUAUUGCUCUU
rnacentral:piRNA from 1 species